AUUGAACGCUGGCGGCAGGCUUAACACAUGCAAGUCGAGCGGAGAUGAGGUGCUUGCACCUUAUCUUAGCGGCGGACGGGUGAGUAAUGCUUAGGAAUCUGCCUAUUAGUGGGGGACAACAUUCCGAAAGGAAUGCUAAUACCGCAUACGUCCUACGGGAGAAAGCAGGGGAUCUUCGGACCUUGCGCUAAUAGAUGAGCCUAAGUCGGAUUAGCUAGUUGGUGGGGUAAAGGCCUACCAAGGCGACGAUCUGUAGCGGGUCUGAGAGGAUGGUCCGCCACACUGGGACUGAGUCACGGCCCAGACUCCUACGGGAGGUAGCAGUGGGGAAUAUUGGACAAUGGGGGGAACCCUGAUCCAGCCAUGCCGCGUGUGUGAAGAAGGCCUUAUGGUUGUAAAGCACUUUAAGCGAGGAGGAGGCUACUGAGACUAAUACUCUUGGAUAGUGGACGUUACUCGCAGAAUAAGCACCGGCUAACUCUGUGCCAGCCGCCGCCGUAAUAC
rnacentral:rRNA from 1 species